CCGCGGCCGAGCGACCCCCGCUGAUUGGGCAGCCGCCGGGUGCCUGGCAGGUGAGGCGGCGGCUGCCGGGCGGCCGCGAGUGGGCUCCACCGGGCUUGAGUGGCUGCGGGGAACUGGGGCCAGGCUCCAGCCGGCAAACGGCGGGACGCCGCCGGGACUCUCGCGGGCUUUCCCCCACCCCUCGCGGGCUCUUUGCCCCGCGAGGAUCGGUCCCACUGCUGCGCCGAUGGAGGAGACGCGGCGCUCAACGUCCAGUCCUGCUUGGGCCCCCGCUGCCUCACCACCUUGAGAACAUGUCCCCUCUGUAGCUGCAGGGCGCAGAUCCUGGGGAGAGCGCAGCAGUUUCGCGCUCCCGGUCCAGCCGCUGCGUCCACCUCCAAUCACUGCGAGUUCUGAUGGCCUCGAGGCCGGGACCCAGGCCGGGAUAGUUCGCCGUUUGUGCCCCCAACCUGUCGGCAGCUGUCCGAGACCCAAAGGAGAAGAAACGAUUACAAUUAGAGCUGAUCUCCGUUACUUCCGUCUGCGCCAAGCGUUGACCCUUUAGUUUGUGAGCAGCGGCCGUACUCGCCGCUGCCCACUUCCCGAAUUACACACCGGGCACGACACAGCAAACAUAUACAACGCAGUAAACCCAAGCACACAGUAGGAAACAAGCACACAACACAGUAAACACAAGCGCACCACAGGAAACAAACACGACAUAUGAAAUACGCACACAACACAACAAAGUAAGCACAUACAACACAGUAACAUAAACUACGCACAACACAGCAAACACAGAAACACAACUAAACACAACAGAGCAAAUACACAUAACAGCGAGCAUACCCACAAAUACAAAACAUGCAAAGAACACUUUUAGCCAGUGUACGCAAAACAUGCACACAACACACUAAACACAUAAUAAACACACUAGACACACACAGUAUCAGGGUGGUUUCCAAAUCACUAGGCUAAUCAGCUUUGAAUUCUCAACAUUUUCAAAUGCAAAAGUCGUGUUGGGGGUUGCUGAUGCUGAAUGGGGACUGUGACAUGGAAUUUUCUUUCCUCUGAACAGCCAAGGCUUUACUCUCUUCUACUCCUACCCGGAGAAGGUAAAGCAUGUAGUGACCUCAGGGACUGCUUACCCCUUAAGGAUUUACUUCCAGGGGUGUGUGUGAAAGUCCUCUCGCCUUCUGUCUGUUGCAAGGUCUUUCUGACAUAAUGACCAGGUUCAGACAAGGCUAUAAAUUCACUCAUUUUUGUGUCCUGCAAGGCAUUUGCAAAGAAUGCAGAAGAGAGUGGAAAGAAAAGGCAGAGAGAAAGAUGGCUGUGAUUGUCACAUCCCUAGCUGGGCCAAGCCCCAAAGUCUGCGCCUUGAGGCAGCCUCACAGCCUGGCCGCCAUCUCUCUGUAGGAAAUAGAACAUCUGAUCAAGUUCAGAGGCGCCAGGAGAGACCGCCUUAAGCAGCGCUUUAUAACUGCAGCCUUUCACUUCCUGCUCCCCAGUCUGCCUGGCCCAGCCAACACUUCACCUUCUUUCUUAGCCAGUUUGCUGGGAGAACACCCUACCGGUAGCACAUCUUACCGUAUUCACCCCCUCCCAUCAAACUCGCCCCAAUUCUCUCUCCACAUCCAGAGCUCUCUCCCCAGGUUGGAAGCUGAAGAAAUAUAACAGAAGAAAUGUAGUUGAAGCCCGUGUGUACUCCGCCAUGAUCACAUUGAUCUCCUUUCCCCCUACACCACAGAGGAGACGAUACUUGGGACCCAAGCAAACCAAGCCUCAGGAGCCACUUCAUGGGAAACUGCAAAAGCCUCUGCAAAGAUGACAGGCAUUCUGCCCAGAGGUCUACAUCACAGUUGGUUCUUGAAACUUCCUUUUAUAUUUUCCUUAGCUCUUUCAAUGGAGCUGGGUUUCCCACACGGGGAGUAUCCUGUGGUGGCUAAAUGUAGGGAUCCAACGUGAAGGAACAGCUCCUCUCACGAACACUGUUGGUCUCCUGGAUGGAGAAGGAAUGUGGUGAACCCUGAGCUGACUCUCAGGGCCUUUGUUCAGAACAUUUUACUUCUGCUCAUAUGUCAUAGGACAAAGCAAAUUACAUGGCUGAGCUGGAUGCAAAUGGGGAGGGGAAGAGGACUCUUCCCACAGGGAGGGGCAUAAGUCACACAGCCAAGGCUGAUGUCAACAGGGCAGGGAUGUAUAAUCCUCCCACAGGGAGGAGUAGCUAAUAUUUUUAACAAUAUUAUAAUCCACCACAGUGACCUCGAGCAUGUCACUUGACCUCUUUGUGCCUUGGUUUUCUCAUUGUUAAAAUGGAAAUAAUAAUAGAACUUACCUCAUAGGGUUGAUAUGAGGAUUCAAACGACUUAAUUCUAGUAGAGCAUUUAAAAUCCUGCCUAGUACAUAAUAAAUGCUAGAUAAGUGGUUGUUAAAUAAAAAUAAAUAAAAUGUUUGUCCAUACAAUUGUUUCCUCUUGCUAUGGUGAAAAUCGUGUAUCCCAUGCUUUAUUAUUACAUGCCUAGAAAUGAAGAUACUUUGCCUACAGGCAUUUAAAAACAAGACAUUUCUAUUUUUAAAAGCCUGUGGCUUUAAAAUUAAGGUUUCCAAAGUUGUGUCAUUGCUUAAACUUCUUGAAAGAUGUCCCUAUCAUGGCUUGCAGUCUGAUUAGUUCUUUCUGGAAAAGAGAAGAGAUUCUGUUUGGUAGGAAUAGG
rnacentral:lncRNA from 1 species